AUUGAACGCUGGCGGCAUGCCUUACACAUGCAAGUCGAACGGCAGCACGGGUGCUUGCACCUGGUGGCGAGUGGCGAACGGGUGUGUAAUAUAUCGGAACAUGUCCUGUAGUGGGGGAUAGCCCGGCGAAAGCCGGAUUAAUACCGCAUACGAUCUACGGAUGAAAGCGGGGGACCUUCGGGCCUCGCGCUAUGGGGUUGGCCGAUGGCUGAUUAGCUAGUUGGUGGGGUAAAGGCCUACCAAGGCGACGAUCAGUAGCUGGUCUGAGAGGACGACCAGCCACACUGGGACUGAGACACGGCCCAGACUCCUACGGGAGGCAGCAGUGGGGAAUUUUGGACAAUGGGCGAAAGCCUGAUCCAGCAAUGCCGCGUGUGUGAAGAAGGCCUUCGGGUUGUAAAGCACUUUUGUCAGGAAAGAAAUCCUUGGCCCUAAUACGGUCGGGGGAUGACGGUACCGGAAGAAUAAGCACCGGCUAACUACGUG
rnacentral:rRNA from 1 species